GAUCCUACGGGGGGCAGCAGUGAGGAAUAUUGGUCAAUGGGAGAGAUCCUGAACCAGCCAAGCCGCGUGAGGGAAGACGGCCCUAUGGGUUGUAAACCUCUUUUGUCGGGGAACAAAACCCGGGACGUGCCCCGGACUGCGUGUAUCCGAAGAAAAAGCAUCGGCUAACUCCGUGCCAGCAGCCGCGGUAAUACGGAGGAUGCGAGCGUUAUCCGGAUUUACUGGGUGUAAAGGGAGCGUAGACGGCCAGACAAGUCAGAAGUGAAAGCCCAGGGCUCAACCCUGGGACUGCUUUUGAAACUGCC
rnacentral:rRNA from 1 species